rnacentral:lncRNA from 1 species
AGGGAUACUGGAGUGAUGGAGGUAGAUAUGUAUAGGAGACAGGGAUACUGGAGUGAUGGAGGUAGAUAUGUAUAGGGGGAAGGGGACAGGGAUACUGGAGUGAUGGAGGUAGAUAUGUAUAGGGGGAAGGGGACAGGGAUACUGGAGUGAUGGAGGUAGAUAUGUAUAGGGGACAGGGAUACUGGAGUGAUGGAGGUAGAUAUGUAUAGGGGACAGGGAUACUGGAGUGAUGGAGGUAGAUAUGUAUAGGGGGAAGGGGACAGGGAUACUGGAGUGAUGGAGGUAGAUAUGUAUAGGGGACAGGGAUACUGGAGUGAUGAAGGGGACAGGGAUACUGGAGUGAUGGAGGUAGAUAUGUAUAGGGGACAGGGAUACUGGAGUGAUGGAGGUAGAUAUGUAUAGGGGACAGGGAUACUGGAGUGAUGGAGGUAGAUAUGUAUAGAGGGAAGGAGACAGGGAUACUGGAGUGAUGGAGGUAGAUAUGUAUAGGGGACAGGGAUACUGGAGUGAUGGAGGUAGAUAUGUAUAGGGGGAAGGAGACAGGGAUACUGGAGUGAUGGAGGUAGAUAUGUAUAGGGGACAGGGAUACUGGAGUGAUGGAGGUAGAUAUGUAUAGGGGGAAGGGGACAGGGAUACUGGAGUGAUGGAGGUAGAUAUGUAUAGGGGACAGGGAUACUGGAGUGAUGGA